rnacentral:rRNA from 1 species
UACAGAGGUCUCAAGCGUUGUUCGGAUUCAUUGGGCGUAAAGGGUGCGUAGGCGGCGCGGUAAGUCGGGUGUGAAAUCUCGGAGCUUAACUCCGAAACUGCAUUCGAUACUGCCGUGCUUGAGGACUGGAGAGGAGACUGGAAUUUACGGUGUAGCGGUGAAAUGCGUAGAUAUCGUAAGGAAGACCAGUGGCGAAGCGGGUCUCUGGACAGUUCCUGACGCUGAGGCACGAAGGCCAGGGGAGCAAACGGG